CAAACAGUAAUUCAAAGGGGUUAUUAAGGAAAAACUAGCAAAUUUAUAAAAAAGGAGGGCACAAGUCCAAAAGCCACAAUUUAACCGAAAGGUGAUCAAGUUUCAUUAGAUUUAUUUAAUGUUGACAAAGAAUGUAGGCGAUCCUAAGGGAAACCUUUAUAUUUAAACUUCCCGAAGUAAAACAUUUCAUUAGGGAAAGGAAAGGAAAUCAACCGAGACUCCGAAAGUAAUGGCGAGUGAAAUCGGACCAGCCUUUAUUAAAAAAAAAUAAAAAAUAAAUUUAACAAAAAUACACACCAGAAACCAAAGAAGGUAAGAUAGUCCUGUAUGUUAAAUCUUUUUAAAUUAAUGUUUAAAUAAGUAUUAUUAAAUUAAAAUUUAUUUAAAUAAUGAGUACGACGAGAGUGAACUUGUCGGAAUAUAGGGGAACCAUCCUCUAAGGCUAAGUAUUUAUAAAUUUAGCGAUAGUGAAAAGUACCGUGAGGGAAAGUUUGAAACAGUUAUGUAAUUUUAGACAUAAAUGAAAUAGUUGAAUUAGUAACUCUAUAAGCAGUCGAAAUUUAUAAUUAUAAAUGACGGCGUACCUUUUGCAUAAUGGGUCAGCAAGUUAAUAGGAGUAGCAAGGUUAAAAGCCUUAGUGAAAGCGACCACACUAACUAGCUAAAAGUAUUCUUAAUUUCAUAGAUAUUAAGAAUAGGAUAUCCUUCAUAGUCAUAAGGCUAAGAAGUUAAAUAUUUUCUAGGGAUAUAGUGAAGGGUAAGUUACUUCUAUUAGACCCGAAGCUAGGUGAUCUUCCUAAGACCAGAUUAUAAUGGAUCGAACGGGUGAAUGUAGCAAAAUUCUCCGAAGAGUUUUAGGAAGCGGUGAAAUGCCAAUCUGACCUAGUGAUAGCUGGUUUUCUACGAAACAUAUGUAAGUAUGACAUCUAAACAAAAUUUAUGGUGGUACAGCACUGAGUUCCCAACUAUUUCUUUUUAAAGGAAAAGUUUAGGUUGCGGGGACGUCGAAAAUCUUACCAAUGGAAGAGAAUCUCGGAAUGACAUAAAUUGAUGUUAGAUAUUCAGACUGCUCAUGCGAAGUUGGGUAGUCAAGACGGAAACAGCCGAGAACACGAAACAAGGUCCCAAAUGAUUUUUAAGUGAAAUGAAGGAAGUAAUAUAUUGAAUGCAGCUGUAAAGUGAGCCUGGUAGUCGCUAUCUUUUAAUAAACGUAAAGUAACAACGUAGCAGCCUUAUACAAUAGAAUAUUACGCCAAAAAUUUAACGGGUCUCAAAAAAUCAACCGAUAUCGUGUUUAUUUUGAAUAAUAAAAAAAAUUAAUGUUCAAUAUAUAGGUAGUAGAACAUUCAGUAUACUGAUGAUAAAACAGUGUUUCAUUGUUUUUAGGUCACUGAAGAGAGAAUGCUGACAUGAGUAACGUAAAAAGAAGUUAUAAUACUUCUCGCCGAAUACGAAAGGGUUGUAAGGAAAGGUUAAACCACCUUAUGUUAAUGCGGCCUCUAAGGAACAAAACCAAAGUUUUGUCUGAUGAGUAUGAAUUAGAAAGUCCUUUUUAAAUAAAAUUUAUAAAAGGGACCAGGAAAAGAAUACAUUCUUAACUACCGUACCCUAAACCGACACAGGUUCGUAAGUAGAGUAUACUAAGGCGUAGAGCUAAAAGUUGUUAAGGAACUCGGCAAGUUCUCCUCAUAAGUUUGACGAUAAGAGGAACCCUUUAAAGGGUGGCACAAAAUCGGAGGCCCCGACUGUUUACUAAAAACACAAUUCAGAGCAAUGAUGAAAAAUCAUAGUAUUCUGGAUGAAAUUUGCCCAAUGCCAUUAACAUAAAAGAGGUUAUGGGUAACUGUAACUGAUUGAAAGUCUGGUUAAUAGCGGUCUUAACUAUGAGGAUCCAAAGGUAGCAAAAUAAAUUGGCCAUUAAAUGUGGUCUGGUAUCAAUAGUGUAACGAUGGUCUCACUGUCUCUACAACUUGCUCAGUGAAAUUGAAUUACCCGUGCAGAUGCGGGUUGCCUCCAGGUGGACGGGAAGACCCUAUGCAGCUUUACUGUAGUUAGCUAUCAUAUCGAUCUACAACAACCUCGGUUAAUAGUAAUUAGGGAUGUCGAUUGACGAGAGAUGGAAUACCUUCUGACUUUGGUUGGGUCAAUAUUUACCUUUUUAAGUCAUAUGUCAUAUAUGACUCAAAUUUUAUUUUUCUUUUGUUUAUUAUACUCAUAUUUUGUUAUAUAGUGUUAUAUGACAUUAGCUUAUAAGGGAUAGGUGGCUAAUUGGCAGUUUGACUGGGGCGGUCGUCUUUGAUAAAGUAGCAAAGUACAUCCAAAGAUAUUUAUUUAUUAUAAGCAAUCUUUUUUUUUAAAAAGAUACUAACUAAAAAUCAUAGUAUCUGUAUAAACUAUGAAGAAUAUAAUUUAUUAUAUUUUUUAUUAACUUAAGGUAUAGCUAGAAAAUUGAAUGGAAAUCAAUCAACCAGUGUGAAAGGUUGUAAUCGGCGUAAUGGCGGAAAGCAUGCCUAACUGAAAGACUUAGAAGUCGAACAGAUACGUAAGUAGGGCAUAGUGACCCUUCGCUAUAUUAUGGAAUAGACGGGGAUCAAUCGAUAAAAGUUACGCUAGGGAUAACAGGCUGAUAGCUGGUGAGAGUACACAUUGUCCCGGCUGUUUGGCACCUCGAUGUCGACUCAACCUAUCCUCCGGGGGUAGAAGCUUGGAAGGGUUCGGCUGUUCGCCGAUUAAAAGGUUACGCGAGUUGGGUUUAAUACGACGUGAGUCAGUAUGGUCCCUAUCUUCUGGAGGGAUAAAUAGUAAAAAGGGGCAGACCUUCUAGUACGAAAGGAUCAAUAGGCUGUGUUUCCCUAGUGUACCAAUUGUAAUUCUCUGUUUUUUAAUUUUUUUUUAAGAUUAAAGAAAGUUUAGAGCAUAGUUGGGUAGCCACAAACAUGAUAGAUAAGCGCUGAAUGAAUAUUAAGCAGGAAGCUAUCCCCUAGAUACUAUCUUAUUGAUUAUCAAUUUAAUUAAUAUUUUUUAUUAAUUUUCUUUUUAAUCAAUGUGAAUAAGAAAUAGAACAUUUCUAAAUAGGAUGUGAAUGUAAGUGCUGUAA
rnacentral:rRNA from 1 species